rnacentral:rRNA from 1 species
GGUUGCGAUCAUACCAGCACUAAUGCACCGGAUCCCAUCAGAACUCCGCAGUUAAGCGUGCUUGGGCGAGUGUAGGACUAGGAUGGGUGACCCCCUGGGAAGUCCUCGUGUUGCAACCC